GAAGAGUCUACACAGAGACCCUUAGCAAAAACAAACUGGACAAUAAACACAGAUGUAAAUACCUCCCAAGAUAAUGUAGGAGAAAAUAUAGGUGGCCUUAGAUAUGGACAUAAGUUAUAUGUAGGUACAUACAUCACCAAACAAACUUCAUGAAAUCUUGAAUUGCUAAGAAGAACUUCAUUAACAUUUCAUUAAAAUUACAGAAGAUAGUAUAAGAAGAGAGGCCAAAGACUGGGAAAAAUAUAUUCAAAUAACACAUCCAAUCAAGGGCUAUUAUCUGAAAUUUACAAGGACAUAUCUUAAAAUCCAAAAGUAAAUAAAAAACUCAAUUAAAAAUUGAGUAAAACAUCUUACUGUUGCCCAAGCCCAGUCAUCUGAGGUCCAAGUUGAAAAACUCAAAAGAGAUCACUCCCUGUAGUGUGGAGGAAGAGCUGAAUUUUGGGGACACACGUGUGUCUACAUAUAUGUAUAAAUAUGUAGUUGUAUAUCUGUAUAUGUAUAUAAAAUACUGCUUAACAAGUUUCUAGUUAUUGAUUAUGCCUGACAUGAUGCAACUAUGUUUCAUAUAACCAAAACUGCACUAAUCUCUUUCUUACAGCUCAGCAUUUUAGUCUUAUUUUUAGAGUUGGGAGACUAGGUUUUGCUCAGUUGCUCAUGAUGGCCUCCUGUCUCCACCUCCCAAGUGCUAGGGCAUGCACCAUCAUAUCCAGCAUACACAUCUCUUAUGAGAAUUUUGCUUUGGGGAAAUUUGGCCUUGAUGAUUUCAAUACUGAGGAUUUUAAUCUUUCAGAAUUAUGAUUUAGGAGAUUUCAAACUGUAGGGAUUUUUAAUAUUUUUGAGAUUUAACAUGCAGUAUCCUAGCAUUUAGGAUUCUGUUCUUUAGAAUUAUGACCAGUGACAAAGAAUAAAAUCCCUUAAAAUUGUUAGCAAAAUACCUGUAUUUCAUUACCAUCAUUGACAACAAAUGAAAGCUAACACAAUCAAGUUGAAAAAACAACAACACUAUAUAGUGAAUUGAUGCAGAAAAAGGCAUUUUACAAGAUCUAUCACCUUUAGUAGCCUAAGGCUGACUCAACAAAUUAGGAACAAAAUUAUUCAUAUAAUAAAGGUUGUAUAUGAAAAGAUUAUAUAUGAUUGCUAUCUAAUAAUCAUAAAUCCAUGAGGAAUCCUAAAGCUUUUCUCUAAGAUCAAGUCAGGAUAGAGUAAAGCCAACCAUGUUCAAUGGUACACUUUUACCAUAGGCAAGAUAUGGAAAUAGUCCAGGUGCAUGGAUGCCCUUGAAUGGAAAAAUGGAUCAAGAAAAUAUUAUAUCUAUGAUCGAAUUUUACUCAUUCACGAGGAAGUACAUGCCAUUUGCCAAGAAAUGGAUGGGCCUGGAAAAAAUUGUAUUAAGCAAACCUGGCUUUGAACUGUGAUCUUCAGAUCCCAGAACCCAUUAAAAUCUUCAGGGAAACAGACAAACUGGCUAUCAUUGAAAUGGAAAGAUUUUGUGCUUCAAUGGGCAAAAG